UACAGAGGUCUCAACCGUUGUUCGGAUUCAUUGGGCGUAAAGGGUGCGUAGGCGGCCCCGCAAGUCAGGUGUGAAAUCUCCGGGCUCAACCCGGAAACUGCACUAGAUACUGCGGGGCUGGAGAGCCGGAGAGGAGACUGGAAUUUACGGUGUAGCAGUGAAAUGCGUAGAUAUCGUAAGGAAGACCAGUGGCGAAGGCGAGUCUCUGGACGGCAUCUGACGCUGAGGCACGAAGGCUAGGGGAGCAAACGGG
rnacentral:rRNA from 1 species